rnacentral:rRNA from 1 species
AGUGAACGCUGGCGGUAGGCCUAACACAUGCAAGUCGAACGGCAGCACAGUAAGAGCUUGCUCUUACGGGUGGCGAGUGGCGGACGGGUGAGGAAUACAUCGGAAUCUACUUUUUCGUGGGGGAUAACGUGGGGAAACUUACGCUAAUACCGCAUACGACCUACGGGUGAAAGCAGGAGAUCUUCGGACCUUGCGCGAUUGAAUGAGCCGAUGUCGGAUUAGCUAGUUGGCGGGGUAAAGGCCCACCAAGGCGACGAUCCGUAGCUGGUCUGAGAGGAUGAUCAGCCACACUGGAACUGAGACACGGUCCAGACUCCUACGGGAGGCAGCAGUGGGGAAUAUUGGACAAUGGGCGCAAGCCUGAUCCAGCCAUACCGCGUGGGUGAAGAAGGCCUUCGGGUUGUAAAGCCCUUUUGUUGGGAAAGAAAAGCAGCAGGUUAAUACCCCGCUGUUCUGACGGUACCCAAAGAAUAAGCAACGGCUAACUUCGUG